AUUGAACGCUGGCGGCAGGCCUAACACAUGCAAGUCGAACGAGUGGCGGACGGGUGAGUAAUGUCUGGGACACUGCCCGAUGGAGGGGGAUAACUACUGGAAACGGUAGCUUAUACCGCAUACCCUCGGAUGUGCCCAGAGGGGAUUAGCUAGUAGGUGGGGUAACGGCUCACCUAGGAGACGGUCCCUAGCUGGUCUGAGAGGAUGACCGGCCACACUGGAACUGAGACACGGUCCAGACUCCUACGGGAGGCAGCAGUGGGGAAUAUUGCACAAUGGGCGCAAGCCUGAGGCAGCCAUGCCGCGGUAAUUC
rnacentral:rRNA from 1 species